rnacentral:rRNA from 1 species
UGUAACNGGGCUCAAACCACACACCGAAGCUGCGGGUGUCGCGUAAGUGACGCGGUAGAGAGCGUUCUGUAAGCCUGUGAAGGUGAGUUGAGAAGCUGGAGGUAUCAGAAGUGCGAAUGCUGACAUGAGUAACGACAAUGGGUGUGAAAACACCCACGCCGGAAGACCAAGGGUUCCUGCGCAACGUUAAUCGACGCAGGGUUAGUCNGUUNCAACGAGGCUGAAAAGCGUAGUCGAUGGGAAACAGGUUAGUAUUCCUGUACUUCUGGUUACUGCGAUGGAGGGACGGAGAAGGCUAGGCCAGCUUGGCGUUGGUUGUCCAAGUUUAAGGUGGUAGGCUGAAAUCUUAGGUAAAUCCGGGGUUUCAAGGCCGAGAGCUGAUGACGAGUCGUCUUUUAGAUGACGAAGUGGUUGAUGCCAUGCUUCAAGAAAAGCUUCAAGCUUCAGGUAACCAGGAACCGUACCCCAAACCGACACAGGUGGUCGGUAGAGAANAUCAAGGCGCUUGAGAGAACUCGGGUGAAGGAACUAGGCAAAAUGGCACCGUAACUUCGGGAGAAGGUGCGCCGGCUUAGGGUGAAGGAUUUACUCCAUAAGCUCUGGCUGGUCGAAGAUACCAGGCCGCUGCGACUGUUUAUUAAAACACAGCACUCUGCAAAACACGAAAGUGGACGUAUAGGGUGUGACGCCCGGUGCCGAAGGUUAAUUGAUAAGUUAGCGCAAGCGAAGCCUGAUCGAAGCCCCGGUAAACGGCGGCCGUAACUAUAACGGUCCUAAGGUAGCGAAAUUCCUUGUCGGGUAAGUUCCGACCUGCACGAAUGGCGUAACGAUGGCGGCGCUGUCUCCACCCGAGACUCAGUGAAAUUGAAAUCGCUGUGAAGAUGCAGUGUCCGCGGCUAGGCGGAAAGACCCCGUGAACCUUUACNGUAGCUUUGCACUGGACUUUGAGCCUGCUGUGUAGGAUAGGUGGGAGGCUUUGAGCGUGGACGCCAGUUCGCGUGGAGCCAUCCUUGAAAUACCACCUGGCAUGCUUGAGGUUCUAACUCUGGUCCGUAAUCCGGAUCGAGGACAGUGUAUGGUGGGCAGUUUGACUGGGGCGGUCUCCUCCUAAAGAGUAACGGAGGAGUACGAAGGCGCUCAGACCGGUCGGAAAUCGGUCGCAGAGUAUAAAGGCAAAAGCGCUCUUGACUGCGAGACGACACGUCGAGCAGGUACGAAAGUAGGUCUUAGUGAUCCGGUGGUUCUGUAUGGAAGGGCCAUCGUUCAACGGAUAAAAGGUACUCCGGGGAUAACAGGCUGAUACCGCCAAGAGUUCAUAUCGACGGCGGUGUUUGGCACCUCGAUGUCGGCUCAUCACAUCCUGGGGCUGAAGCCGGUCCCAAGGGUAUGGCUGUUCGCCAUUUAAAGUGGUACGCGAGCUGGGUUUAGAACGUCGUGAGACAGUUCGGUCCCUAUCUGCCGUGGACGUUUGAGAUUUGAGAGGGCUGCUCCUAGUACGAGAGGACCGGAGUGGACGAACCUCUGGUGUUCCGGUUGUACGCCAGUGGCAUUGCCGGGUAGCUAUGUUCGGAAAAGAUAACCGCUGAAAGCAUCUAAGCGGAAACUUGCCUCAAGAUGAGAUCUCACUGGGAACUUGAUUCCCUGAAGGGCCGUCGAAGACUACGACGUUGAUAGGCUGGGUGUGUAAGCGUUGUGAGGCGUUGAGCUAACCAGUACUAAUUGCCCGUGAGG